rnacentral:rRNA from 1 species
UGGGGAAUAUUGCACAAUGGGCGCAAGCCUGAUGCAGCCAUGCCGCGUGUGUGAAGAAGGCCUUCGGGUUGUAAAGCACUUUCAGCGAGGAGGAAGGCGUUAAGGUUAAUAACCUUAGCGAUUGACGUUACUCGCAGAAGAAGCACCGGCUAACUCCGUGCCAGCAGCCGCGGUAAUACGGAGGGUGCAAGCGUUAAUCGGAAUUACUGGGCGUAAAGCGCACGCAGGCGGUUUGUUAAGUCAGAUGUGAAAUCCCCGAGCUUAACUUGGGAACUGCAUUUGAAACUGGCAAGCUAGAGUCUUGUAGAGGGGGGUAGAAUUCCAGGUGUAGCGGUGAAAUGCGUAGAGAUCUGGAGGAAUACCGGUGGCGAAGGCGGCCCCCUGGACAAAGACUGACGCUCAGGUGCGAAAGCGUGGGGCA